rnacentral:rRNA from 1 species
UACGUAGGGUGCGAGCGUUAAUCGGAAUUACUGGGCGUAAAGCGUGCGCAGGCGGUUCGUUGUGUCGGCGGUGAAAGCCCCGGGCUUAACCUGGGAAUGGCCGUUGAAACUGGCGAACUGGAGUGUGGCAGAGGGGGGUGGAAUUCCGCGUGUAGCGGUGAAAUGCGCAGAUAUCAGGAGGAACACCGGUGGCGAAGGCGGUUCUCUGGGCAUUACCUGACGCUGAGGAGCGAAAGCGUGGGGAGCAAACAGG